AACAAAGUGCCUGAGUAUAGGGUCAUUUUGAUAGAAUGGAAAACGUGAGAUAGACCACCUUUGUUA
rnacentral:tRNA from 2 species